rnacentral:rRNA from 1 species
UACGUAGGGGGGCAACGUUGUCCGGAAUCAUUGGGCGUAAAGAGCGCGUAGGCGGUCCGGUAAGUCCGCUCUGAAAGUCCGGGGCUCAACCCCGGGAGGCGGGCGGAUACUGUCGGGCUAGAGUCCGGAAGAGGCGAGUGGAAUUCCUGGUGUAGCGGUGAAAUGCGCAGAUAUCAGGAGGAACACCAAUGGCGAAGGCAGCUCGCUGGGACGGUACUGACGCUGAGGCGCGAAAGCGUGGGGAGCAAACAGG